AUUAGGUCCACUGGGGGUUCCUUUUCUCUGGAGAGUUUUCAAAUCCCAACUCCUUGACGCCCACUUUGGCUGAAGGUGGUCAUCUGGCACCAGGGUAGAGAAGGAGGAAAUUUCAUCCACACAUCUCUUUGAACAAUAGCCAGAGUAAAGGUCAGUAUGUGUAAUAAUGGUAUCUAAAAUGCUUUGGGUGAGGACUAGACCUGUGAUUUCCCUGGUAUAGGAUACUUCUUGGUGAGGAAAACUCCCUCUGCAUAACAGAGAUAGUCACUUUCUUGAAAACUUGGUCUUAGAGAAUUGCUCAGAGCACUUAGGACUUAAAUGCUUUGAGAAGGCUCACCAAGUCUUGAACUCAGAUCUUCCAGUGCUAGCACUUCCAAUCCUUUUUACUACUCUUAGGGAAAGUCAACUGCCCUUCUUCAAUCUCUAAACAGAAAGUCUUUUCUGCUCCCUGAAGUCAGAUGAAGAUUUGACUUCUGUACUUUCCCUUAUACUGAUUCAGAUCCUUUGUUGCCCUCCACAUGGAAUUCUUUCCUCCCUUUUUAAUGCUCUAAUACCUCUUUCUCAAUGAGUGACACUUUAAAAUCAUACCAACCUUGGCUAUGUCAUCAUUUAGAGAGUGCUGGACAUAGAGAGAGGUAGAAUUGGUCUAGAAUAAGUGUACUAAUUCGCCCAGUGGUUGGCCAGGUAUUCAGCCCUACCUCAAUGCUAUGCAUACAGUAGGUGCCUUAUAAAUGCUUGUUGAAUUGAAUUGAGACCUCAUUGGUGUGGAUGCAGAUCCCAACCCAUUCUUUAUGAAAUAUACUUCUGAAAAUCCUCCAAAGGGGAUUGGGUUCCAUCCUCUAGAUGUCUUGACAUUGUGCAAGUAGCUACAGAACAUGACAGAUGCCCAUGAGUCAUCCCUCACUCUCACUACAUUACUGACUUACUUUUUUCAGCCAUAACAUCUUUGAUAUCUUCUUUUGAUUAAAAUUUGAAUAAAAAUUUCUUUUACUGUCACAUCAGCUUCAUUUCCUUACCUCUCCUACCCAAUGAGUCAUCCUUUAUAACAAAUAAUAAAAAAGAAAAGAAAAACAAAAUAGUUCAACAAAAUCAACCAACAUAUCUACUGAGUCUGAUAUGAUCUGCAGUAUUCUCUGAUUUUAAUACUCUCAGAUCUCUGCAAAGAAGCAAGGGAAGUCCAUUUUCUUAUCUUUUCUUCGGGGUCAGGUUGUUGUUGAAUAGUUUUCUGGUAUGAGUUGGUCUACAUAUGACUUCUCAGGUCCCUUUCUACUGUAUAUCCUUUGACAUCCUAUGACUCCAGUUUUCUGCCUGUGUUGCAAUCACAGUCCCUUGUGAAGCCCUGUCCUACUGUGGGAAGUAGUGCAGAUGCAUUUCAUCAUAAUCCCCAGCUGAAAGUGACCUCAGAGACCAUCCAGUUUAACCUCAUUUUACAGAUGAAGAAACUAGGGUCCAAUAAAAUCAGAUGGCAUGGCUAGGAACACACAGAAAUUUGGCCCUCCUGUAAUCCCAGAGGCAUUUUUUUUCACCCUGGUUUGACGAUCCCUGAAUGUUUGUCAUUAUCACCUGACAAAUGGCAUCCCCACUGUGCUGUAAGUUUGGAUCAGCAUCUCACAUAAACUUCUCAGGCAGUCACCAACUCUUCUGAUGUGGCGGUGAGCUCCAGGCUAAGGACUGGACGCCAGAUCCAGCAGACAACAUGUGCUACGUCAAAUGUGCCGAGUUCAUCGGGACUAUUCUAAUGUCCCUCUCCUUAACAUGUAUCACCAUCAACAUUCUCUUGUUUUUCCCCAAUUGGGAGCUAAAGUAUUUCAAUGAAGGCCAGCUGAGCGUCUACGUCAAUUGCUUACCGGGAAUUGUAGGAGGGGGGCUGAUGGUAUUCUUACCUUCCCUUUACUUUGUUGCAUUGGAUGGGAAAGACUGUUGUGGAUGCCUCGGCCAUGAGAAUUGUGGGAAAAGAUGUGUGAUGCUCACCACAAUGGUGCCAUCUGCUGUUGGACUUAUGGGAGCUUGUUACUGUAUCAUUAUGUCGGUUCUUAGCAUACUGAAAGGUCCAAGAUGUCUUGAUGUGAGUGGCGAAUGGAACUACCCCUUUGCCACCGUCAGAAAAUGAGGAAACUGAGGCCCAGUGGAAUUGACUUGUCCAAAGUGUCACACAAGUAAAAUGUAUCUGAGCUGAUUAAAUCAAAACCAGGUCCUUCCUCAGUCUCUUAAGUACACCACUCUUGGAAUGCUGGACUUUAGGGGUAAUAGAUUCAGCUUUUAAAGUCCAUCACAGGUCUUAAGUUACAUUACUAACCACAGACUAUGGGGCAUGUGCGUCAAACCCCCACAUAUUACACAAUUUCACCUGCUCAUGUUUUUCCUUCUCGUGGGCUUUGGAGUACUGGAAGUCGCCUUUCUUAUCCUUCAAGUAGUAAAUGGUGCAGUUGGAGGCCUAUGUGGUUAUUUCUGCACCACGGUAAAGAAAUCUAGAAGAACAAACCAUUAUGAUCUUCCUGAAUUUCAUUAAAGAAGAUACAAUUCAGUAUCAGGAGAAA